CAGCAGAGAGUCUCAGAGGCACUGAACCUUGGCAGGUUUUAAACCUGAGGGACCUCCAAGGCUGUUUCCUCUGAAUUUUGAUGCUG
ensembl:miRNA gga-mir-1771 gga-mir-1771